rnacentral:rRNA from 1 species
UACAGAGGUGGCAAGCGUUGUUCGGAAUUACUGGGCGUAAAGGGCUCGUAGGCGGCCAACUAAGUCAGACGUGAAAUCCCCAGGCUCAACCUGGGAACUGCGUCUGAUACUGGAUGGCUUGAAUCCGGGAGAGGGAUGCAGAAUUCCAGGUGUAGCGGUGAAAUGCGUAGAUAUCUGGAGGAAUACCGGUGGCGAAGGCGGCAUCCUGGACCGGCAUUGACGCUGAGGAGCGAAAGCGUGGGGAGCAAACAGG